rnacentral:rRNA from 1 species
GGGUUGUGAGGUUAAGCGACUAAGCGUACACGGUGGAUGCCCUGGCAGUCAGAGGCGAUGAAGGACGUGCUAAUCUGCGAUAAGCGUCGGUAAGGUGAUAUGAACCGUUAUAACCGGCGAUUUCCGAAUGGGGAAACCCAGUGUGAUUCGUCACACUAUCAUUAACUGAAUCCAUAGGUUAAUGAGGCGAACCGGGGGAA